UCAGAGUUUUCUAGCAAACCCAGAGUUUGUGCCCUGAUUUAUACAGCUCAAUUGGUUGGAUUAGUGGAUGUUUGGGGCUCUUUUGUACCUUAAUAAUUACUUGUGGUAUUUUCUGGAGGUAUUGAUUGUUUGGGGAUAUAAGGAUAUUUAGGAGAUAGAUACAUUUUUGGAGUCUAUCUCGUGAAGAAGUGCUCUAUCUCUUCGAUGAAGAUAGAACCCUAAUUUACUUGGGGGUAUGUGGUAUUGC